AAUAGAGGUGCGAUUGAUAAGAGUAGCAUUUGUUAAACCGGCGGACGGUAAAUGUGAAAGGUAAAAUCGCCGAAACAGUUCGAAGACCGCAGUCGGAUUGUUGGGCUUUCAGAGAAUAUCUGUAAGACUGUCACUUAAGGUGGAGAGCUAUUG
rnacentral:ncRNA from 1 species